CGGUCCCUUUCCGAACGCGGAAGCUAAGCCCGAUUGCGCUGAUGGUACUGCACCUGGGAGGGUGUGGGAGAGUAGGUCGCCGCCAACC
rnacentral:rRNA from 1 species